rnacentral:tRNA from 1 species
UGUUAUGUGGCUUAGUUGGUUAAAGCGCCAGUGCAGCGAAUACGGAGUCGUGGGUUCGAGUCAGACCAUAACGU